rnacentral:rRNA from 1 species
AGUUUGAUCCUGGCUCAGGAUGACGAGAGCCUGCCUAACACAUGCAAGUCGAGGGAGAAGCCCUUGGGGCAGAAACCGGCGCACGGGUGCGUAACGCGUAUGCAACCUACCUUUCACAGGGGGAUAGCCCGAAGAAAUUUGGAUUAAUACCCCAUAAUAUUAUUGGAUGGCAUCAUUUGAUAAUUAAAAUUACGAUGGUGAAAGAUGGGCAUGCGUCCUAUUAGCUAGUUGGAGUGGUGACGGCACCCCAAGGCUACGAUAGGUAGGGGUCCUGAGAGGGAGAUCCCCCACACUGGUACUGAGACAGGGACCAGACUCCUACGGGAGGCAGCAGUGAGGAAUAUUGGUCAAUGGUCGGAAGACUGAACCAGCCAUGCCGCGUGCAGGAAGAAUGCCUUAUGGUUUGCAAACUGCUUUUAUAUGGGAAGAAUAAGGAGUACGUGUACUUUGAUGACGGUACCAUAUGAACAAGCAUCGGCUAACUCCGUGCCAUCAGCCGCGUUAAUACGGAGGAUGCGAGCGUUUAUUCGGAAUCAUUGUGUUUAAAGGGUCUGCAGGCGGUUCUACUAAUUCACUUUGUGUA